rnacentral:rRNA from 1 species
GGUCAAGCUACAAAGGGCUAACGGUGGAUUCCUAGGCACACAGAG